UUAAUGAGAGUUUGAUCCUGGCUCAGGACGAACGCGGGCGGCGUGCCUAAUACAUGCAAGUAGAACGCUGAAGAGAGGAGCUUGCUCUUCUUGGAUGAGUUGCGAACGGGUGAGUAACGCGUAGGUAACCUGCCUUGUAGCGGGGGAUAACUAUUGGAAACGAUAGCUAAUACCGCAUAACAAUGGAUGACACAUGUCAUUUAUUUGAAAGGGGCAAUUGUUCCACUACAAGAUGGACCUGCGUUGUAUUAGCUAGUAGGUGAGGUAAUGGCUCACCUAGGCGACGAUACAUAGCCGACCUGAGAGGGUGAUCGGCCACACUGGGACUGAGACAC
rnacentral:rRNA from 1 species